UGAACUUUAGCUUAGUAGUUGAGCAUAGAUUUUGCAUAUCUAAAGGUGUAGGUUCAUGUCCUACAAGUCUUG
rfam:Amphimedon queenslandica AMPQTscaffold_10915_Cont16010, whole genome shotgun sequence.